rnacentral:rRNA from 1 species
GAUGAACGCUGGCGGCGUGCCUAAUACAUGCAAGUCGAGCGAACAGACGAGGAGCUUGCUCCUCUGACGUUAGCGGCGGACGGGUGAGUAACACGUGGAUAACCUACCUAUAAGACUGGGAUAGCUUCGGGAAACCGGAGCUAAUACCGGAUAAUAUAUUGAACCGCAUGGUUCAAUAGUGAAAGACGGUUUUGCUGUCACUUAUAGAUGGAUCCGCGCCGCAUUAGCUAGUUGGUAAGGUAACGGCUUACCAAGGCAACGAUGCGUAGCCGACCUGAGAGGGUGAUCGGCCACACUGGAACUGAGACACGGUCCAGACUCCUACGGGAGGCAGCAGUAGGGAAUCUUCCGCAAUGGGCGAAAGCCUGACGGAGCAACGCCGCGUGAGUGGUGAAGGUCUUCGGAUCGUAAAACUCUGUUAUUAGGGAAGAACAAAUGUGUAAGUAACUAUGCACGUCUUGACGGUACCUAAUCAGAAAGCCACGGCUAACUACGUG